GUCUGAAGAAGGAGGCAGGGGAGAGCAGGCAGGCCCAGCUCAGUGCUCAGCAGGAGGCCAACACACACCAGCAGAGGGCUCAGCAGCUGGAGGCAGAGCUGACCAACACCAAUGACACACUCAGGACUCUACGGAAACAGCUGCAGGAGCAGGCUGAUGCCAGCCAGGCAUUGCGGGCAGAGCUGUCCCAGGAGCAGGCCAGGCAGCAGUAGCUGCAGAAGAGGAACCAGGGGGCCAGGGAGAGAGAGGGUCGACUGGAGUCAGAGAGAAACCAGCUCAGAACCAGAAUGGAAUUAGCUCACAGCCAGCUGAAGGAGCGGGAGAGGACUGUGGGGUGCCUGCAGGAGCGUGUGGUAGAGCUGCAGAGCACCACCCAGAGGCUGCAGGAGGAACAGACAGCCUGCCAGGCUCAGCUGCAGCAGUGAAGGAGGGAGCUGGAGAGCAGGGAGGGCCUAGAGACACAGCCAAGAGAUGAGCGUCUUUCAGGAGACAGUGUCCAGGCUGAGGGAGUGUGUAGAGAAGGCCCAGGCCAGCAGCAGGCAGGGGACCAGGGACACAGCAGCAGCACAACACAGCCUCAGAGAGCUGAGACUGGAGCUGGCCUUCACCCAGGCUUCCCAUAGAGAGAGCCUGGAGCUGGUGCGUGCCCUGCUUACACACAGCUGGCUGAGCAGAGUGGUGAGGCUGCAGGUCUACGUAGUGAACUGUCCCGCCUGCAGCAGAGGAGCUCCCAGCUGUCAGAGGAGAGAGGGGGCCAGGAGGAGAGGACCAGGCAGCUGGCUGCAGAGCUCCACAGACUACGCCCUGCCAGCAGACACUGGACGAGACUCGAUCCUGUGAGGGCAGGCUGGCAGAGCUGAGUGCCCAGAUGGGGAGGUCUCGGUGCUGGGGCCAGGAGCAGCUGGUAGCCCUGGAGAAGGAGGUGGUGCUGAUUAAGGUGGAGAUGGCUUCUCUCAGGGAGAACUAGCAUGCCAAGGUGGCCCAGGUGGAGGCCUUACACUCACAGCACGAUUCCAUGGAGCACAAGUACAGCACAGCAGCUAAUGAGUCUCUGGGUAAUGCUCAUUCAGACAGUUCUCUUCUACACAGGGAGAGUGAGCUGGUGAUAACCACCGUCAACCAGUGGGUGAAGGAGCAGAAGCAAGGGUCUGCAGGAGGAGAUGAAGAGGUUGAAGGCUGAGCUGGAAGAGAGCAGGAUGGAAGCCGAGAGGUUCAGAGCCUCAAGUCAGUAUGAGUGGCCAGCGCAGUGCCCUGACCAGACCUCCCGUCCAGCUGCUCCACACAGAAUCUGCUCUGACUGCAACAGGAGCCUUGAGUGGCCAGAGAGACAACCUGUGGAGGAGGAGCUCUGGCUGCCAACCUGCAUCUGCGCUAGCCCCAGACUCAGCCUGUGUCUGCCUGGCAGGGAGGGGGGCCACGUUUGCUGCUGAGGUGGCCCUUAGGACCCUGGAGCGCAGACCCCUGCCAUGUGGCCACCACCACUGGAGCAGACCCGCUCUCUCAGCUGGGACAGGCCAUGCCCUACACAUCUCAGGGAGGGACACUGGUGGGGGCUAGUAUGAACCAGUGAGAAGGGAAGUACAGGUAGUUAUGACUCAAGAGAAUACAGCACACAAAUAUUUAUGAUUUUGUAGCUUGAUAGAUAUGAAUAAAUUAUUGUAUUAUAUUUAAGAUUAUUUAAUGACAAUACUAAACUUGAAUAAUUUUAUUUCUUUGGUAUUUUCAGUAUAAAUUUUUUCAAAAUCGAAUCGUUGUGGCACAAUAUUGUAAUCUCUUACCAUUACUCCUUCAGACCAGUUCUACAUUAUGAUUGUCUACUUAUUUACAACAGGUUCUGUUGAACACAGAUUCUGUGUUGUGAAUCAGUAGACAAUUACAAUCUUACCUCUACAGUAUCUGGGUCCUUCCACCAGUUCGGUGCCUUUUUAGAAGUGUAACUUGUGAUUUCACAAAAUGUUGACAUUCUGUCCUAAAGAGCA